AGCGAACGCUGGCGGCAGGCUUAACACAUGCAAGUCGAGCGGCCGUAGCAAUACGGCAGCGGCAGACGGGAGAGUAACACGUGGGAACGUACCCUGCAGUACGGAACAACCAAGGGAAACUUUGGCUCAUCCCGUAUACGUCCGUAAGGAGAAAGAUCUAUCGCUGAAGGAUCGGGACGCGUCUGAUUAUAUAGUUGGUGAGGUAACGGCUCACAAAGGCGACGAUCAGUAGCUGGUCUGAGAGGAUGAUCAGCCUCACUGGGACUGAGACACGGCCCAGACUCCUACGGGAGGCAGCAGUGGGGAAUAUUGGACAAUGGGCGCAAGCCUGAUCCAGCCAUGCCGCGUGGAUGAUGAAGGCCCUAGGGUUGUAAAGUCCUUUUAACGGGGAAGAUAAUGACGGCACCCGUAGAAUAAGCCCCGGCUAACUUCGUGCCAGCAGCCGCGGUAA
rnacentral:rRNA from 1 species